AUUGAACGCUGGCGGCAGGCCUAACACAUGCAAGUCGAACGAGUGGCGGACGGGUGAGUAAUGUCUGGGAAACUGCCCGAUGGAGGGGGAUAACUACUGGAAACGGUAGCUAAUACCGCAUACCAUCGGAUGUGCCCAGAUGGGAUUAGCUAGUAGGUGGGGUAAUGGCUCACCUAGGCGACGAUCCCUAGCUGGUCUGAGAGGAUGACCAGCAAAACUGGAACUGAGACACGGUCCAGAGUCCGACGGGAGGCAGCAGUGGGGAAGAUUGAACAAUGGGCGAAAGCCGGAGGCAGCCAUGCCGCGUGUAUGAAGAAGGCAUUCGGGUUGUAAAGUACUUUCGGCGGGGAGGCGUUACCCGCAGAAGAAGCACCGGCUAACUCCGUGCCAGCAGCCGCGGUAAUAC
rnacentral:rRNA from 1 species